CGCUUAACUGACUGAGCCAUCCAGACGCCCCUGUUGUCCCUGGCCCCAUACCCCCAUUCUGCCCUGGGAUUCCAGGCCCAAAACCCUCUGGCUUCUACCACUGAGAUUCGUGGCAGUCCCUGUCCUGCCUCAGCCACUCCUCCACUGUUGCCGGCAUCCUGGGUCGCUUGGCUGGCCCCAUCUCCACGAUGGGGGGGCUCCACACUUCCGCGAUGGUGGGAGUACCUGAGAGACCCCGUGUGCUGUGAGUGGCUGCCGGGGGAGAGCAGGACACUUGAAGCUUCGUCAAGGAAAAGUUCUCAUCAAUAAAUAUUUAUCGAGCUGACCUGUGGACACCUCUGAUGUCCAGGCACUAUUCCAGGUUCUCGGAACCUAGCAGUGAGCAAAAGAAGAAAUCGAAAUCCCUGUUUUGUUGUGCAUAAACUCUAGUGGAAAGACCCAGAAACAAGGAGCAAAGUGAAUACAGCUACAGCUACAGACACUGGAAAGUUCUGUGAGAGAAAACAGUGUGAAAGUUGUGAGUUGGUGAGGAGGAAGAUGGUUAGAUUAAAAGGUCAAUGACGGUGCUUUUUGAGCAUUUUCAUUUGAGCUGAGUCCAGGAUGACAAGAAGGAGCCAGCUAUUGAUUAUCCUGGUGAUAAUCUCUGGCUCUGGGGCGUUCAACCCUCUGCCUCUUUCGCAAGUACACCUGUGGAGCGGAACUCGCCCGGAGAGGAACGGUCACCCACGCUGACAGUCGUUGCCUGAAACACUGGACCACACCCCCUAAGGGGGCCGGACGCCGCGCGCUAACCACAGUGGCUCUCAAAAUGCGGUCCCCAGAGGGGCUGCCUCACCUGGCGGCCUGUUAGAAAUGCAGCUUCGCAGGCCCAGCCCCAGAUCCAAGGAGUCACCACUCUGGGGAGGAGCUCAGUGUUGGUUUCAACAAGCCUUGGAGGUGCUGCUGGCGCGCGCGGAGCCUGGGAGCCGCUGCCCUAGCCCCGCGGGGCGCUGCCAGGUGACUGCUUCCCGGUGUCCCCUCUCCCCCGAAACCCUCCUCCGCCCCGCCCUUUGCGGAUGACCUAACAUAUGUUCUUGAACAAACAAAGCAACUGAAAGUAAAAUUGCACAGACUCCCACUACCACAUUUCCUCACCUGCUGGCAGCUGUGCUAGAAUUUUCCAUCUUCCCACCCCGUUUUUGUAAAGGAACCUCCAUGUUGUGAUCUGUGACUGCUCCUUCUACUCAGCUCUGGUUCUCGUCCUCUCUUGCCUAUUCGAGGACAUUGCAAGUUAAAUGCCAGUGUUCUUGCCAUUACAUUCCAGUGGCAUAUACCUGUCCCUUUUUACUUUAUUUUUAUUUUUAUAUAUUUUAUUUUAUUAAGCACAUAUGUUUAAGUGUUUGAGUCAAUUAUAGAAUCAUGACAUUCUACUCCCAAAUAUUUCAGUAUAAAUAUUUUAAAAACAUUUGUAUGGACAACCAAAGUAAGAUUAUUAUGAUGAAUCAAAUGAGUAAUAAUUCCUUAAAUCUAAUUCAAAAUAUCUAGUUCAAAAUCAGAUGUCGUCCGUUGUCCUCCAAAAAUCCAUGCAACUGUUUUUUCAAAGCCAAGAUCCAUUCCAGGAGCUGGUGGUUUAUUCCUUGAUUUCUUUAACUCCAGGGUAGCCCUUCCUUUUCCUUAUCCUUUUUAAGGGAAAAGUCAGGGCUAGUUGUCCUGUCAAAUAAAUGUCCCACCUUCUGGAUAUUUUUGAUUGCUUCCUGAUGGUGACAUUUAGUUCAUCCUCUAUUUCUUGUAUUCCCUAUAAAAAUAAAUUAAAAGACUUGAUAGAUUUAACUUAAGCAUUUGCAAAGGGAUGUUGUGAUGAGCACUAGGUGAUGUAUUAAAUGUGUAUGUAUGCAUGCAUAUGUGUAAUGGGUAUGUGUAAUUUUACUUAAAAUUUUAUUAUAUAUAAAAACAAAAAAUGUAUGAAACAGCUCAACAGAUUGUUAUAAAAUGAUCACUCAUGUAAUUCCCAUCCUAAAUAAGAGAAAAAGACCUUUACUCCAGAAGCUCCUGAUACCAUGUCUCUCCCAAGUUACAGUCCUCCCCCUCUCCUGUUAUUCUAGAUGUACUCAUUAUUCUAACUUGUAUACUAUUUUUUGCCCUGGUCUUUCUUUAUGGUUUUUCCACCUUAUAAGGCAUUGUCAAACAAUAUAUGUGCAUUUUGCCUGAUUUUCAAGUUCUUAGUAAAUGACAACAUACACUAUGUAUUGUUUUGACUAUCUUCUUUUGCUCAAUAAAGUAAGAUUCAUCCAUA